rnacentral:rRNA from 1 species
AUGGCCGCCACAAACGCAGGCAUGGUUCACGUGGUUGAGCCUCAUGGGCACCAAACAUUGAUUCAUAACGGGAGGACCGUCCGAGUAUUUGGCCGUGCAUUUUGGGCCUUUGAGCAAUGCGUGAGGGCUUUUGAGCAUUGUCGGCCCGUCAUCGCCAUUGAUGGCACGUUCUUGACCGGACAAUACAAGGGCACUUUAUUGGUUGCAAUAGCAAGUGAUGCCAAUAACCGGGUGUUGCCUUUGGCUUUCGCUUUGGUUGAGGUGGAGAACAAUGAUAACUGGGAGUGA